rnacentral:rRNA from 1 species
CAGCAGCCGCGGUAAUACGAAGGGGGCUAGCAUUGUUCGGAUUUACUGGGCGUAAAGCGCACGUAGGCGGAUCGAUCAGUCAGGGGUGAAAUCCCAGAGCUCAACUCUGGAACUGCCUUUGAUACUGUCGAUCUGGAGUAUGGAAGAGGUGAGUGGAAUUGCGAGUGUAGAGGUGAAAUUCGUAGAUAUUCGGAAGAACACCAGUGGCGAAGGCGGCUCACUGGCUCAUUCUAGACGCUGAGGUGCGAAAGCGUGGGGAGCAAACAGGAUUAGAUACCCGAGUAGUCCCUGUCUCUUAUCC